AAAGAAUGACCUUGGGUUCGACAUAAAUUCAAAAAUAAUAAAAUGGCUCAACGGAUUCAUUUCACCAAAAAAUUAAAUAUUAAUAGACACAAUGUUAUUUUAAGACAAAAUCUAUAUUUAAUUCCAUUAAUGAGAUCAACAUUUGAUAGUUAUUUCAAUAUUCCUUUUAAAUUCAUUUUAUUUCAUAUCAAAACCCCCUUUCGCUACGCCACUGAAUAUGUUGCAGACACAUUUUCAAUUUAUUCCGGUGAAGUAAUGCAACUGCAACACUGUUGAACGAAAUGUCUGAGCAAGAAGCGAUGCAUUUAAUACACUCUCACAGCCGAUCGUCGACGAAAACUGCGUGAGGAAAACUGCGGUGGUGUCAGUCGGUGGUAAAGCGAGCGGCGAGUGUACGCCGGCAUUUGAAUUUAUAAUUGUCGAAACGUAUGUAUGAAGUGGCAGACGUCGCAGUUGCAGGAAUGUCUGCCUGAUAUUUGGCCGGUUCGUUGACUAGUUGGCGUGUGAUUGUUGGCUCAUUGGUCGUGUUUGGUGUAACUAUAUUGGUUGGUGAUCGUGCUGCUUCGGCUUGUAUGCAAAUGCAAUUGCAAUUGCAAUGAAAGGGCUCACUGCAUGCUAAGUGUGCAACAAAAAACAAAAGAUGCAUCGCACGACCUCCAUCACCGGCACCGAUUUACAAGUGCAGACUACAGGCGCUCCAGAAAAAUAUUUACAACUUUUGAAAAAAUUUCAAUAUUUUUUAAUAAUAAACAUUGUUUUUUAAGCCUCAAAUAUAGUACACUAUCAUCACACUUCGUUGGUUGUUACAGUACUGUAACCAUGCCACAGCCUCAACUUUCGCCAGGCAUGUCACUCUUUGAUUUUUCCUAUUUCCAAAAAUAAAGACAAAAGUCGCUGAAAUAUAGCCAAAGGCCCUCCCAAAAAUCGAGUUUGAGAAGUGUUUCAGCGAUUGGAAGAAGCGCUGGCAAGUGCAUAAUGUCGAAUGGGGACUAUUUUAAAGACGACAACUGAAUAAAUAUUUUUUCAAAAACGCAAAAAAUCCCGUUAUUUUUUGAACACACCUCGUAUACAAGAUGUAUUUAUAGUUAUUGUGAAUUUCAUCUAUUGUAAUAAUAUUCUUUUAAUUAGUAAAAUUGUCAAAGUUAAACUCAAUCCCAUUCAUUUAUAACUAAGGCAAUAAGAUAUUGUCAUAAAAAAUUUAGCUAAUAAAUUCCGUUUAUAUUAUUAGUAGGGUUUAAUGGCCUGAUCAUUUAAUUAGAAGAUGCUAAAAUUGACUUUGAAAAAAAAAAGGUGUAAUUUAAAAGUUCUACAAAAUGUUCCGGCGCCAAGUGAGAAAUGUUUUCCAACCGAGCAUCUUUGAACAAACAAAGAAAUCUUCCCAGGAAACAGUGCUACAGUCUUUAAAAAGACUUACCUUUAAACUUGAUAAAAUAAUGGACAUUUAAGCAAUAUAAGUAAGUACAGCGAGAAUUGUCAAUAAUCUACCGUAAGGCAUCCCCACAUCAAUGCUUACUUAGCGGUUUUGCAAAGCCUGAACUACAAAGAAAAAACACGUUUUAUUUUAAAUUUUUAUUUUUUGGUGUAUUUCAUGUUCUUUUUUUUUUCUUUUAAUUAAUUUUUGUGGAUUUCAUUCUUUUCUUUGCUUUUCGUUAAUUCUUAUUUAGUGUUGUUGUUUUUUGCUUUUUAUUAACUGUAUUGUUUCACUUUGUUGUUGUUAUUUUUGGUUUUUGCUUGACUUUAUGCGAUUCAUUGUAUUAAUCUCUAAAUAUAUAUAAUAUAUAUAUAUAUAAGUUUAUAUAUUUAUGUUGCUGUUUUCAAUGUUCAGCUUCAGCUUUUUUGUGGGCCAUAUUGUGCCCGUGACUCUUAACGCUUCACUAUCAUUAUCACUACCAUCAAAGUUUCGACACAUCUUCGCCUGCAAACAACUUCAACCAACGUACCAUGCACAUAACUGCAUAUGCUGCAGUUGCACAGGUGCGCAUGCGCGUACGACUUGUGUGUGUAUGUAUGUAAGUAUGUACGUCUCUUAGAGGCUUCAUCAUAUAUAUAUUUUGUUCGUUUGAAUUCAUUUAUUUAUUUUUUUUAAAUAUAUUUUUUGUGUUGUUUUUUAUUUUAAUUUUAUUUGCUUCACUUUAACUUUAAUUCUGCUUAAAUAACAACUGUUCAUUUCAUUAAAUUAGUAUUACUUUUAACGGUAUUAUUAUAUUACUGUUGUUCUCAUGCAUAUGUAUGCAUGUAUGUGAGCUACAUAUGUAUUUAUGUACAUAUCUAAAACUCGAUUUAGUGUUUUUUGUUUUUGCAAUGAUUGACUUUUUUUUACUGUGAUGAGUUGCUUUUAAAGAACGUAAUUUCUAAUAAAAAACUUUCAACAAUUAAAUUCAAAUAAUUAAGCCAUUUCUAUUAAGAGUCGGCAUUCAAUUACAGCUAACUUAACAUUUUCAAAUCGCAAUUCAUUUCAUUUGAAACAAUGCUAAAUUCAUUUAUACUAAAGUGUUUUCGAAAAUAAAUUCUAAGAAUGAUCAGACAAGCGCGCAUCUCGAAGAGCGUACUCACCGUCAAAACUCGUUUAUUGUACAAUAUAUUUAUUUAUGCAUUCCCAUUAUUAAAAAACGGCUUUCACUCAAAGGGACAAAAGUGUGAAUUGUUGAUCUCUUUGCAGCAGUUCUAUGAUUUCAUAAAAUUCAUUUUACGCAUAAUUUUGAUUCUCAAAGCAGUGAUUCUCUCUCCCACUCUCUCUACUCCUUUAAAUGUAUUAAUUUUGUCAAAAUGUCGCUAGUAGUGUGUGAUAAUUUAUGAUGUAUGUAUGUUAGCGUUUUAGUAAUGAAAAACUACUGUUUUGUAUUGCUAAUUUAAGUACCCUUAUUGAGCAAAUCAGCUAUUUACUCAUAUUAUGUAAUUCAUAUCUAAGCAUAAUACUAAAACACGCCCUUGUUAAGGUAAGCUUGAGAAGAAGCUGUAUAUUUUCACUAUAAAAAAACAUGGUAAAAUUAGGACUGGUGGAAGGGAACUAAGGCAGGACUCGGGACACAGCAGAAGUUGGUUAACAUAUUGCUAAGUAUGUUGCGAUGAGGGAAUGUACAUAUGAUGUUGGCAGGAUGUGGGAUUUGGACUUGAACUUAGAACUUUCAACUAGCUCCUUUACCAGGCAUCAUCUACCUAGUCUAUUAGUAGUAGUAGUCUAUUUAAAUCUAAUUGUAAACUAGUUACAUGUUUAGUAAAACGUAAAUUUAGCGUUUUAAGUUUAGUUUGGCAACAGUUUUAAAUGGUCUCCGCCACUUCUUAUAGUCAAUUUUUAUACCGCCUAUUUUUUUAUAAUUAUGUAUGACUUAUUUUUCGUUUAUGUUGUUUUUGUUAUUUUAGUGUUUCUUCCUCUUACUCCUUAUUUAUUUAGCAAGUGUAUAUAACUUUUGAAAUUAACUAGUUUUAAUGCAUAGUAGUGU